rnacentral:rRNA from 1 species
AGACGGAGGAUGCAAGUGUUAUUCGGAAUGAUUGGGCGUAAAGAGUCUGUAGGCCGUAUAGAAAGUCUUUUGUUAAAUGCCUCGGCUCAACCGAGAUCCAGCAAAGGAAACUUCUAUACCUGAGGGAAGUAGAGGUACAGGGAAUUCCCGGUGGAGCGGUGAAAUGCGUAGAUAUCGGGAAGAACACCAGUGGCGAAGGCGCUCUGCUGGGCCAUUACUGACGCUCAUGGACGAAAGCCAGGGGAGCGAAAGGGAUUAGAUACCCCUGUAGUCCUGGCCGUAAACGAUGAACACUAGGUGUCGGGGGAAUCGACCCCUUCGGUGUCGUAGCUAACGCGUUAAGUGUUCCGCCUGGGGAGUACGCACGCAAGUGUGAAACUCAAAGGAAUUGACGGGGCCCGCACAAGCGGUGGAGUAUGUGGUUUAAUUCGAUGCAACGCGAAGAACCUUACCAGCCCUUGACAUGGGGAUUUGGUCGCCGGAGACGGCGUCCUUCAGUUCGGCUGGCU